UACGGGGGGGGCAAGCGUUGUUCGGAAUUACUGGGCGUAAAGGGCUCGUAGGUGGUCAACUAAGUCGGACGUGAAAUCCCUCGGCUUAACCGGGGAACUGCGUCCGAUACUGGUUGGCUUGAGUUUGGGAGAGGGAUGCGGAAUUCCAGGUGUAGCGGUGAAAUGCGUAGAUAUCUGGAGGAACACCGGUGGCGAAGGCGGCAUCCUGGACCAAUACUGACGCUGAGGAGCGAAAGCCAGGGGAGCAAACGGG
rnacentral:rRNA from 1 species